UUCCUACGGGAGGCAGCAGUGGGGAAUAUUGGACAAUGGGCGAAAGCCUGAUCCAGCCAUGCCGCGUGUGUGAAGAAGGCCUUUUGGUUGUAAAGCACUUUAAGCGAGGAGGAGGCUACCGAGAUUAAUACUCUAGGAUAGUGGACGUUACUCGCAGAAUAAGCACCGGCUAACUCUGUGCCAGCAGCCGCGGUAAUACAGAGGGUGCGAGCGUUAAUCGGAUUUACUGGGCGUAAAGCGUGCGUAGGCGGCUUUUUAAGUCGGAUGUGAAAUCCCUGAGCUUAACUUAGGAAUUGCAUUCGAUACUGGGAAGCUAGAGUAUGGGAGAGGAUGGUAGAAUUCCAGGUGUAGCGGUGAAAUGCGUAGAGAUCUGGAGGAAUACCGAUGGCGAAGGCAGCCAUCUGGCCUAAUACUGACGCUGAGGUACGAAAGCAUGGGGAGCAAACAGGAUUAGAUACCCUGGUAGUCCAUGCCGUAAACGAUGUCUACUAGCCGUUGGGGCCUUUGAGGCUUUAGUGGCGCAGCUAACGCGAUAAGUAGACCGCCUGGGGAGUACGGUCGCAAGACUAAAACUCAAAUGAAUUGACGGAA
rnacentral:rRNA from 1 species